rnacentral:rRNA from 1 species
CCUACGGGGGGCAGCAGUGGGGAAUAUUGCGCAAUGGGCGAAAGCCUGACGCAGCGACGCCGCGUGAGGGAUGAAGGUCUUCGGAUCGUAAACCUCUGUCAGCAGGGAAGCACGGUCACUGUGCUAAUCAGCAGUGAAUUGACGGUACCUGCAAAGGAAGCACCGGCUAACUCCGUGCCAGCAGCCGCGGUAAUACGGAGGGUGCGAGCGUUAAUCGGAAUUACUGGGCGUAAAGCGCUCGUAGGCGGUAUGUCAAGUCAAGGGUGAAAGCCCCGGGCUCAACGUGGGAACUGCCGUUGAAACUGGCAAACUGGAGUGUGUGAGAGGAUAGUGGAAUUCCAGGUGUAGGAGUGAAAUCCGUAGAUAUCUGGAGGAACAUCAGUGGCGAAGGCGACUAUCUGGCACAUAACUGACGCUGAGGAGCGAAAGCGUGGGUAGCAAACAGGAUUAGAUACCCCAGUAGUC